rnacentral:rRNA from 1 species
CGGACGGGUGAGUAACGCGUGAGAAUCUGCCUUUAGGUCCGGGACAACCACUGGAAACGGUGGCUAAUACCGGAUGUGCCGCAACGUGAAAGGGGAAACCCGCCUGAAGAUGAGCUCGCGUCUGAUUAGCUAGUUGGUGAGGUAAAGGCUCACCAAGGCGACGAUCAGUAGCUGGUCUGAGAGGAUGACCAGCCACACUGGGACUGAGACACGGCCCAGACUCCUACGGGAGGCAGCAGUGGGGAAUUUUCCGCAAUGGGCGAAAGCCUGACGGAGCAAUACCGCGUGAGGGAGGAAGGCUCUUGGGUUGUAAACCUCUUUUAUCAGGGAAGAACCAAAUGACGGUACCUGAAGAAUCAGCAUCGGCUAACUCCGUGCCAGCAGCCGCGGUAAUACGGAGGAUGCAAGCGUUAUCCGGAAUUAUUGGGCGUAAAGCGUCCGCAGGUGGCUCAUCAAGUCUGCUGUCAAAGGCAGGGGCUUAACCCCUGAAAGGCAGUGGAAACUGGGGAGCUAGAGUGCAGUAGGGGUAGAGGGGAAUUCCCGGUGUAGCGGUGAAAUGCGUAGAGAUCGGGGAAGAACAUCGGUGGGCGAAAGCGCUCUGCUGGACUACUGGGGUAUCUAAUCCCAUU